GAAAUCUAUAUAAUCAAAGAAAACCAGUUUUUUUUUAAUAAGAUGAAUGAUUGCACCUCUUCAAGUUCUACAGAAUUAUUAAAUGAAGGAAUCUGCUUCAGAAUUGCUGACUGCAUGUCACUGCAACAUCUGUGCUACAAAGUUUGACUGUUUAAAAUAUUGUAAUUCUAAACUAAAUUUUGAAA